rnacentral:lncRNA from 1 species
AAGGCACCUCACUUACCUGGGGCAGUUUUGUAGCAUGUUCUGGAGGGCAGCGAUGGGGCAUUCUUUGUCCUGGGGCUCUGUGUACUCUGCAAGACUUGUCUCUGCCUCUUCAGCUCCUCUUCCCUUUCCUGAGCUGCUCGGAUCUCUUCCUCAAUCAUGGACAAAGUCCGCUGUUUCCUGGACCUCAGCUUGAAAGGCCCAACCAUCACGUCAGAUUCUUGAGUGGCCAGGAGGGAGGCUGUGCUUCUCAGCUCAGCUGCCUCCGAGUACUUGCUGAAAUAGCUUCCUUCGGGCCUGGUCUCCUCCAUGUUAAUCGGGCCACUGGGCUGCACAGCUGGCAGUGGCUGGGGGGGCCCCCUUUCCCUGAGCGCCCUGUCUUCAGCAGGCAGAAUCUUUGGUAAUACAUCCCUUUUCUCUUGAACAGGAGAAGACACCUGAGGUGGCUCAAACAUGCUCUGAGGCUUUUCUGAGCCGAACGCCCCAGCUUCAGCUUCCUCUACAGUCGCUUCAGGUCCCUGUUGCUCUGCUCCAUCCCUGCUGGUUUUGGACACAGCUUUAUCCACCUGCUCGGCUAUGGCUUGUUGAAUGGCAUUCUGCACCAGGAGGCCAGCCUGAUACUCCAAGGGAUCAUCAACCGACGGAGAGUCCCCCAGCGUGGAGGAAGGGGAAUAGAAACCAUGAUCACUAAAUGACUUGGAGACGCCUUCUCCUCGGCCCUCUGAGGGGUUGUCAGUUUGUGGCGUCUGGGGCAGAGAAAAAUCAGCCAGUGAAUUUUCCUGGAGGGCAUUGGUUGUCUCAUUGGAUGCCCCGCUGUCACUGAUGUUGUCCAUGCUGAAAUCAUUGGAUAGGGUCUCCAGGACUGUGGUAUCCUGAGACCUCACCGACAAUUCAUCCAGACCAGAGUCAAGCUCCUCUUGGGUCAAGGAGACAUUGACAGAUCUUGAGAACUGAUCCAAAAUCCCAUGGUCAUCAUCCUUGACCACGGUGAGGACGGCCCGGGCGCUCGUAAACUCUCCAUCCUCAGCCCACAGUUUAGAUAAGGGCCCACGUUUAGAAGGCUCGCUGUAGGGCCCUUCCUUCCCCUGAGGGGCUGUGUUGCCCUGGCUUCCUGCUGCCGAUGGGGUCUCCAGGGCACUGGGGGAUUUCUGUCCCUUGGCGGCUGAGGCACCACUGUCUUCUGGAGGUCCCCCGACAGAAGGUGGUCUCGGAUUAGUCAGUGGCUUGUCUGAGUUGACUGACCCCAGAGGCCUGUAGAAAGGCUUGAUGGAGAACAGCCUGGGUGUACUCUGGCCCUUGGCCACCGCUUGCCUGGAAUUCUCCAUCAGCUGAAAUUGUUUGCGAGCAGCAGAGAAAUCUAUCUGCUCUGUGACAAUGUCCUCCUUUGCUUUGUCAAUCAUGCUUGCGCGUUCAUGAGAAGAGGCAGGGGCUGUGCAGAGCUGCGAUGGGGGCUGCUGCUGCUGCUGCUGUAACUGCUGCUGCAGCAGCAACUGUUCCUGCUGUGCCCUUCUCUCCUUGCGCUCCUUGUACUUUUUGUGCGACUCCAGAUGUUCCUCGUCCAGCUGCUCCUCGAUGGUUUUUUCCUGCGGGGGAUUCCACCAUUUUGCUGCAAUGCCAGGAUUCUUCUAGACGGCCUGGCUGCGGAUGAGUUCUCUCCUCUCCUUUCCAGCUCCAGAAUCCACCCUGAAGGCCUCACUUUUCUAAUGCAGUAUUGUUCUUUCUCAUGCUCGUCAUCCUCAAAGAGCUUGGAGGGCUUCUUGUCCUCAUGGAAGGCACGCAGCUCAAACUUGGCCUCCUUUUUCAGUGUGGUGAGAGUGAACUCUCCAUCUCGGGAAGAACACCGUGAGCUGGUUGUGGAGCUGGGGCUGACAGGCGCCUGCAGGCUGUCCCCCAGCGCAUCUCUAGGCUGGCUGGGGGAAUGGCCAUUUGUUCUUUCUGCCUCUGCCAUGGGGUCAGGGCUGCUAUUACUGAGCUCGAUGUGAGGAGGUGCCUGCCGGCUAGCUGUUCUUUCAGUGGGUUCUGGCUGGGUCGCCUCGUGGACAGGGGGGCUUAGGCCGCCCACCAGAACCACUGCACCAGGCUCUGGGGAGGAUGUUCCAUUGUACGUUCCAUCCACAGCAGAAUCACAGCAGUUGGCCUCUAGCACCUCAUCUAGAUAGCGGAUCUCUCUGGCGACAUCAUUAUCCAGGGAUUCGUGGUGAUCAGUAAGGAGGCCAUUAUGGGGGGGUGAAUAGAAAGCGGAGGGGUGGUCCAUGGGAUGUGGGGUAGAGGUGAUUCCAGGAACACUUUUACAUUCUGCAACAGACACCUCAAUUUCCAUGUUUUUGUGAUCUGGGGAAAGAGAGCUGGCAGCAGGCUCCAGGAGGGUGGCACUAUAGUUGUCUCCCUCGCUUUUUAGCCAGAUAUCAUCCUCAGAAAGCUGG